rnacentral:rRNA from 1 species
CAACGCGAAAACCUUACCUACCCUUGACAUGUACGGAACGGGCAGAGACGUCCAGUGCCCGAAAGGGAACCGUAACACAGGUGCUGCAUGGCUGUCGUCAGCUCGUGUCGUGAGAUGUUGGGUUAAGUCCCGCAACGAGCGCAACCCUUACCAUUAGUUGCUACAUUCAGUUGGGCACUCUAAUGGGACUGCCGGUGACAAACCGGAGGAAGGUGGGGAUGACGUCAAGUCCUCAUGGCCCUUAUGGGUAGGGCUUCACACGUAAUACAAUGGCCGGUACAGAGGGUUGCCAACCCGCGAGGGGGAGCCAAUCCCAGAAAGCCGGUCGUAGUCCGGAUUGUUCUCUGCAACUCGAGAGCAUGAAGUCGGAAUCGCUAGUAAUCGCGGAUCAGCACGCCGCGGUGAAUACGUUCCCGGGUCUUGUACACACCGCCCGUCACACCAUGGGAGUGGGUUUCACCAGAAGCAGCUAGCCUAACCGCAAGGAGGGCGGCUUCCACGGUGAGAUUCAUGACUGGGGUGAAGUCGUAACAAGGUAAGCGUAGAUGA